GAAUAUUCAGAUAUUAACACUAAAUUCAAAAGAAUGAUUUAUCUGUUUUAUUUAAACUCCAAGGGUGGUCCUGGACCAGCAGCAUUACCUGGGAGGAAUACAUAGGAUCUCAGGCCCACCCUAGACCUGAGGAAUCAGAAUCUAAGGAUGGGGCUGCAUUUUGAAUAUUGCAUUUCGUCAUUAUUGUCUAAUCAGCUGACAUUGAUGAAGAACCAGGGACUCUGAGUGGUCCCUGUGCCUCAAAAUGACAACUGGACCUGAUUCAGGACUUCUCUCAUCUGUGAACUAUGGGGAUUAUUUCAACCAAUGAGCUUUUUCUACCUGGGCAUUAAGGAUAAGAGAUUGUAGACUGCAAGUUCCUGCAAAAAAAUGAAAUUGAGUGAACUUCAAUUGGGAAAGGCUGAAGGGGAAACAAAUGAACAACAGCAGUGGUAUAUGCUGCAAGAGCACAUUUAACAGAUUUCUUCCCACAAACAAACUGGAUUUGGAAUGAAAAUUGUCCGCGGCCAGACUCAGAGUCCCAACCAGGAGACCUUGCAAUAAAAAGAUGGAGAUUCAUCCACAUCGUCUUGAUGGCUGCAGUGCCACUGUUUUCAUUGCUGUGUAGGGCUCUCUUGUAUGCUCUGCCAUUUAAACCUUCUACCACGGCGGCUUUUGGCUUCUGACUGCUCUGGGCUGCUAGGGCUAGUGCUGCUUGAAGCAUUCUGGAGUCUGUUUAACCUCUGAACACAAAAGGUAUUAUGGAAGAAAUAUGUAUUUAUUCAGUUUCACUUGUCACAAGGAAGAAAAAGCAACCACUUUCCUGUACUUUGCUAAAAGGCAUGUUUUCUACAAAACAAUUCUAGAAGUCAAAAAGGAAAGUUUCCAUUUAUUCUUUCAUUUUUUGCAUUACAGAUACAAUCUUGAGAUUAAUAAACUCCAUCUGAGCAUCCUU